GGCCAUCAGCGCAGGCUCCAACGGAAAGAUGAUACGCGAGGGGAUAUGAGUGUGAGAGAGCGGGGCAAUCAGAAAGAAUGAGAAAAUGAGACGAGGGAAUGGAAAAGGUCUUCUGAACCAAAAGCUUCAUCCAAGAAUUGUGUAAAGAACACUCAAAGUUAUAAGAGAGAGAUUGUGGGAAAUGAAGAGUGAUGAGCCACAGAAGACAGAAGCUGUGGGAAGUGAGACCAGGAGCUAGGAGUGCAUGAACCCAUGCCAAAGGAGGAAGAACCAGAGAAUCAGGGAAAGCUGGUGGAACAGAAGGGAGCUCAGGCACUCUGUAAGUUCUCAGGGCAAGGACUCCCCACAAAGGCAAAACAGCUACCAUUGUCUGCCUAGCCUAUGGCUAGUCAAAGAAGUUUCUGAAGGCUACAGAGAAGGCAGACCUGAAAUCUAGAUCCCAGAGACAAGAGGGCUACUGUAGAGCCAGCCAAAAUGACCAAAAGAGGAAACUGGAACAUGAUCUAAGCCACAUUAGGGAGAUGUGGUUCAUUUCCUGUUUCCGAUGUCCACUGAAUGGUCCCAUAAUCUGGGCUGCUCGAGUGCUGGCCUGUCCAAGCGCAAGCCAGAGGAGGGAAAUGUAGUUAAACAUCCUUUAAUCUGUGAUGCUUGUGAAUCAUCGCUGUGGUCAUCAAAACGGACCGGGCAUCAAUCUUCAAUGUCCUCCAGAUGGAAAAGGAGUGGAAAACAGAAAGGAAUUUAUGGCAACCACAGGCCACAGCCUGGUACUGUUUUGUUUGGGUUUUUAAAAUAAAUUAGAUCUAUCAGCUUAUUUGUUGUCUUUUACCGCUUGCUUAAAAAAGUAGAGUACAUUAAAAUACUGUUUGCAUAAAUAUUCUGGCUAUUUGUUUAUAUAGUACAUGCUUUACAGGAUUGAAUAAAACUGCAUUAUAAAAUUGUGUUGUCUAAUCUAGACUAUAUAAUGAAAAAAAAAGAUGGAAAAAAUAUUUGAAGGAGCUGUAUGUA